rnacentral:rRNA from 1 species
UGGGAAGUAUUGCAUCAAUGGGAACCGGAGCUGCAGCCAUGCCGCGUGUAUGAAGAAGGCCUUAGGGUUGUAAAGUACUUUCGGUGAUGAGGAAGGUACUUGGUCUAAUAGGCCAAGUAAUUGACGUUAAUUACAGAAGAAGCACCGGCUAACUCCGUGCCAGCAGCCGCGGUAAUACGGAGGGUGCGAGCGUUAAUCGGAAUGACUGGGCGUAAAGGGCAUGUAGGCGGAUGAUUAAGUUAGGUGUGAAAUCCCGCGCGCUCAACUUGGGAAUUGCAUUUAAAACUGGUCGUCUAGAGUAUUGUAGAGGGAGGUAGAAUUCCACGUGUAGCGGUGAAAUGCGUUAGAGAUGUGGAGGAAUACCGGUGGCGAAGGCGGCCUUCUGGACAGAUACUGACGCUGAGAUGCGAAAGCGUGGGGAGCAAACA